AAUUCUGGGCUUCUUGCUAGAGUGGUAGUAUGUUAGUGCACUGUACUUUAAGGGCUUAAAAGCUGAAUAUAUAGAACUUAUCAGGGCUGUUCAAAUACAGCCAAAAUAGGAAUGUUCCUUUCAACUGUAACUACUUAAUUCUGCUUCAUUCAAGCUAACAAUUGCAUGUAAACAUUCUUACUUUGUUUUAAUUUCAAGCAACACAACUCAGAACAUGCGCGACUGCAAGUUCCUACAUCACAAGUAAGAAGUAGAUCAACCUCAAGGGGAGAUGUGAAUGAUCAGGAUGCAAUCCAGGAGAAAUUUUACCCACCACGUUUCAUUCAAGUGCCAGAGAACAUGUCGAUUGAUGAAGGAAGAUUCUGCAGAAUGGACUUCAAAGUGAGUGGACUGCCAGCUCCUGAUGUGUCAUGGUAUCUAAAUGGAAGACCAGUUCAAUCAGAUGAUUUGCACAAAAUGAUAGUGUCUGAGAAGGGUCUUCAUUCACUCAUCUUUGAAGUAGUCAGAGCUUCAGAUGCAGGGGCUUAUGCAUGUGUUGCCAAGAAUAGAGCAGGAGAAGCCACCUUCACUGUGCAGCUGGAU
rnacentral:sRNA from 1 species